CUGCUCAGCCGCGCAGCACAGUGGCAGGCCAGCGCCAAUCAGGACAGACUAAGGAGGAUUUGGAGGCCCCCAAGGGGUGUGGAGGCUCUGGACUUCAGCCUGGAAAUCCAGGGGUUAGAGUGCCUCUGUGUAUGCUGAUGAACAGUAAGGCAUUUCUGCUGUUAAGAACAUCAACUGAGAGCUGAAAACAUGUGACAGAGUUGCCUACUGACUGGGGAAAUUUCCAGGUUUGGUCAGCAGCUGCUAGCCAGAUCUACAAAAAUCAUUAGAUGAAGCAUUUCACAUGAUGGAGUUUGUACAGAUUCCUGAUAUUCUGGGAAUAUAUUUGUGGAUUACUGAAGAUAAACAGAAUACAUGUAGUUAUGUCAGAAAAGAUUCGUGCUCUCAUCAAGUUUAAAAUAUGCUAAGAAUAUGUUUCUGUUAAUAGUAGAAAUAAAAACCGCUUAAACUGAGGGCAAUCAGCAAUAAAGCACUUUAAAUUUAUUAAAAUGAAUAUAGCUUUCAUUAAUCCCCAGCAAUGCAUAUUAAUGUUUUUGUGAAUCAUAGCAGCAAGCCUAUUGCAAACAAUGCCAUUUUAGC